AAUGAACGAAUCACUCUUUGACACGAAUCGUUUUUCUGAGUCACAUUAAAGACUCGUUCAGAAUCAAGGAAUCGUUCAUAACCGACUCAUCACUACUCUGCAUCAUCAGUAAUGAGCUCCGGGAGAAACUCCGUGUUCCAGGUGGAGGAUGAAGACCCUCUGCCGGGAUGGAUUGACUGUAAGACCCCUGUAACGCUCCAUCAACACUUUAAUCUCAUAAGAAGCGUGAGACUGAGAGGAACCACCACAUCAAGAGUCCACCCACUACUAGCUCAAGUUCCAGCUGUGGAGGAGAAACCAGCUGCGGCUCAAGUUCCAGCUGUGGAGGAGAAACCAGCUGCAGCUCAAGUUGAAGCAGUUAAAGCUUCUUCAGCAUCUGUGAAUGAAGUCCAGACCUACGAGGACACACACACACACACACACACACACACACACACACAACACAACACAACUCUUUAUUGUUAAAGCCGAGAGCUGCAUUCCACUUCCUGCCAGGUUGUCACAGUGCACAUGAUGCGCUCUUUCACCAAUAAGAGCUUCUAAAGAGUAAUAAAACAAAGAACUUGCCCACAUGAGGAAUAAAAUCCUCCCAUAUAUUGUUAGAAUUCUUUCAUUUUCCAUCAAUCAUGUUGUUCCCAUAAUGCUACUGGAUGGAAAAUAGCAGGUUUGAAAUGAUAUGCAAACAAUAUUUCUAAUAAUAUUUUUGCUGAGAUGACCAGACAAUUUGAGAAAACUCAUUGUGUUUUUUUGUAUACAUUCUGUUACAUAAAGACACAGUUUUCCAUUUCGAUUACGAAACGACGUCAUCGCACGAUGAUGUGACGGCGUUGCUUAGCAACGUUUAGAAGGAAGAAACGAUUUGUGAUUAAAAAACUUCUAAAAUGCCUAUACAUUUUUAUUUCCCUUUGACUGUUCUCUUAGUCUUGGAAGUAGACCCUUCCUUGCGCCAAACCGUCCGCAUAGUGGGCGCUGCAUUAUCGUGUGCAGCCCUACUCGCCGGAACGGGGAUCUUCGGAUAUUUAAUUAGCAGAUGUGGCGCUGGGGAGAGGAGACCGGAACCCAACACCACCAGUCAUCAGACCUCUGCACUUCACCCAGGCAUGCUGUCAAUCAAAGGGGAUUUGUUUGUUCACCUGCCUCUUGAGGAUUGAGCACACGAUCUCAAUGGGAUUAAGGUCUGAGGAGUUUCCUGGCCAUGGACCCAAAAUGCAGAUGUUUUGUUUUUUAAAUCACUUAGUUAUCACUAUUGCCUUAUGGCAAGGAGCUCCAUCAUGCUGAAAAAGGCACUGUUCAUCACCAAACUGUACUUGGAUUGUUGCUCUUGGAAGAUGUUUUUGUACCAUCCUUUAUUCAUGGCUGUGAUCUCAGGCAAAAUUGUGAGUGAGCCCACUCCCUCACUAAGAAGCAACUCAACACACGAGUGGUUUCAGGAUGCUUUACUGUUGGCAUGAUACAGGACUGAUGGUAGCGCUCACCUUUUCUUCUCUGGAAAAGCUUUUUUCUAGAUGCCCCAAAUCAAUCAAAAUGUGGAUUCAUCAGAGAAAACUUUAACCCAGUCCUCAACAGUCCAAUCCCUGUACUUUCUGCAGAAUAUCAGUCUGUCCCUGAUGUUUUCCCUAAAGACAAGUGGCUUCUUUGCCAUCCUUCUUGGCACCAGGCCAUCCUCCAAAAGUCUUGCCUCACCGUGUGUGCAGAUGCACUCACACCUGCCUGCUGCUAUUUCUGAAAAAGCUUUGCACUGAUGGUGCCCGAUCCCGCUGGACUUUCUUGGGCGCCCUAAAGAUUCCCAUUAUGUGCUUGAUUUCAUUCUAUUAUUGUAAUAUAUAAUAUCUCAGGACUUGAGUGAGAACAAGAAAUUAAGAAAAGCCUCACCUUAAAUAGUGCAAACAUAAUUUAAUAUAAUAAAGAGCCAAGGUGCAUUGCUGCUGUAAACAUACAUACAUUUUACCCCUUUAGGAGAGUGAGCAACAUGGACACCAAAUCAGACACAACUUUACCCAGACACUAAACUAGACACAGGAAAGUGAGCAACAUGGACAACAAACCAGACACAACCAGAAACGGGUAAACUCAACCCCACCUCAUUUCCCUACUUUAUAAAGACAGAGACGAUAAAUUGCUGUAUUUAUCUACAUGUCAGCAUUUAGGGAGCUAAAAUGAGUAAGAUUCAAACCCUGAGUUUAUGUACUCAAACAUUUUACCACAUGUAGAGUAUGGCUCAGAGCUCUCCCCCAACUUUUUUGGGGGAAGAGCAAAUCUCAAUGAGGUGUUCUGUAAGAUUAGUAUGACAGCCAUGGAGAAAACACUCCUGAGUGAAUUACAAGUCAAGUGAGGUUUAAAAAAAAAAAACUUCUUGAAGUCUACCAAUAAGCAUUAAACGAUACCAAAAAGCUUCUCAUUGCUGUGUUUUGAUGAAGAAGCCUCCAUGAUGAUCUUUUAAAUUUGUAUUUGUUUAUUUAAUAAAUCUAUUUGUUUUAAUUUAAAUGAUUAAUUUUUAUUUAAACAAAUAUAUGUUAAAUGUAAUCAUACAAUUUUAUCAACAAAAAUCUAAUUUUAUUAUACAGUGGAGUAAAGUAAAGAAUUAAAUUUGUAACCCGAGGUUCCACUGUAUUACUGUUAAAGAACGUUUUUUAAAAAGUAAAUUAAAAGUUACUUUUAACAGUAACGCAUUACUUUUUGGUGUAAAUAAUCAACAAAGUAAUUGAGUUACU